rnacentral:rRNA from 1 species
AUUGAACGCUGGCGGCAUGCUUUACACAUGCAAGUCGAACGGUAACAGGCCGCAAGGUGCUGACGAGUGGCGAACGGGUGAGUAAUGCAUCGGAACGUGCCCAGUCGUGGGGGAUAACGCAGCGAAAGCUGCGCUAAUACCGCAUACGAUCUAUGGAUGAAAGCGGGGGACCGAAAGGCCUCGCGCGAUUGGAGCGGCCGAUGUCAGAUUAGGUAGUUGGUGGGGUAAAGGCUCACCAAGCCAACGAUCUGUAGCUGGUCUGAGAGGACGACCAGCCACACUGGGACUGAGACACGGCCCAGACUCCUACGGGAGGCAGCAGUGGGGAAUUUUGGACAAUGGGCGCAAGCCUGAUCCAGCAAUGCCGCGUGCAGGAAGAAGGCCUUCGGGUUGUAAACUGCUUUUGUACGGAACGAAACGGUCCGGGUUAAUACCUUGGGCUAAUGACGGUACCGUAAGAAUAAGCACCGGCUAACUACGUGCCAGCCGCCGCCGUAACAC